GGCUGCAAUUGGUCUCGGUUGGGACGAGGUAACAGAAUACCUUCUGCCUGACACUGUUGUGGCCUGCGAAAACUCGCCUGCUUCCGUCACCAUAGCUGGUGAGAGGGCUUCCGUCCAAAGAGUCAUCGAAGCUAUCAAAAAAUCACAUCCCAGUUGCCUGGCAAGGAUGCUCAAGGUCGGGGUUCCUUAUCAUUCACCCCAUAUGAAUCAUGCCGGAGAAGAAUAUCACAAGAUGAUACUGAAGAAAAUCGAAAGCAGAAGUCUGCGCAAAUGCUUCAUCUCAAGCGUAACGGGAGCUGCUGAAGGGCAUGCCACUCUCGAUGCCUCCUACUGGGUGCGGAACAUGCUGUCUCCAGUUCGAUUUCGAGGAGCUCUUGAGCAUUUACUAC
rnacentral:sRNA from 1 species